UGCCAAGUGUUGGAUAAGCCCAAAGACAUAUA
rnacentral:piRNA from 1 species